rnacentral:lncRNA from 1 species
GUAGGGAAUUCCGACCGGUGAUGUUCUGAUAUUUGCUCUUUGGAGGCUAAGCACACUGACACAAUAUUUAACGUGGUUCGGCAAACCGCCUACAUCCACGGGAGAAGCCAUUUGAUUAUAUAGGGAGCGAACAAGAUUUACAACAAUAGAGGAGGAGGAAUCAUCCCCUCUUUGGCAACUCUCAACCUCACUCUAUUUCUCUCUUUUCAGUGCUGCAAUGGCAGCUACUGCUGGCUGCCUUGGCAGCCCACUCUCUCCUACAUUUCUCACAUCUUUGGCUCUACACACUCUCACUUUCUCUCUCCUUUUGCUCUCAACCGUAUGCCUCUAUUUAUAGGCAUCCAUGGCAGCUCCUCCAGCUCUUUUGUCAACAAUGGUGGCUGCCAAUUCCAGCUCUUCUUCAACAAAGGUGGCUGCCA